UCUUCAUUUCACACACUCUCUCACCGGUCAGAGAGGCGAGAGAGUGUGGGAAAUGAAGAGA
rnacentral:pre_miRNA from 1 species